ACCCGCACAAGCAGCGGAGCGUGUGGUUUAAUUCGUUGCUACACGAAGAACCUUACCUGGGUUUGACAUAUAGGUGUAGGGAACUGAAAGGGACCGGCCUUCGGGAGCCUAUACAGGUGUUGCAUGGCUGUCGUCAGCUCGUGUCGUGAGAUGUUCGGUUAAGUCCGCUAACGAGCGCAACCCUCGUCGUAUGUUAUAUGUGUCAUACGAGACUGCCGGUAAAAGCCGGAGGAAGGUGAGGAUGAUGUCAAGUCAGCAUGACCUUUAUAUCCAGGGCUACACACACGCUACAAUGGUCUGUACAAUGGGUAACCAAGCCGCGAGGCGGAGCCAAUCCUGAAAGCAGGCCUCAGUUCAGAUUGCAGUCUGCAACUCGACUGCAUGAAGCCGGAGUUGCUAGUAACCGCAGGUCAGCAAUACUGCGGUGAAUACGUUCCCGGGUCUU
rnacentral:rRNA from 1 species